rfam:Marine metagenome 379552, whole genome shotgun sequence.
GUGUGGCUUCGGCCUCACACUCCUCACACCACCCCGCCCGGCGCGCCCGGGCUUU